rnacentral:rRNA from 1 species
UGCCUACGGGGGGCAGCAGUGGGGAAUAUUGCACAAUGGGGGAAACCCUGAUGCAGCGACGCCGCGUGGGCGAGGAAGUACCUCGGUAUGUAAAGCCCUAUCAGCAGGGAAGAAACAGGACAGUACCUGACUAAGAAGCCCCGGCUAACUACGUGCCAGCAGCCGCGGUAAUACGUAGGGGGCAAGCGUUAUCCGGAUUUACUGGGUGUAAAGGGAGCGUAGACGGCAGUGCAAGUCUGGAGUGAAAGGCGGGGGCUCAACCCCCGGACUGCUCUGGAAACUAUACGGCUGGAG